AGCCCGGGCUGCACGCAUGCGCCACGGCUCUCCUACAGCCCCCGGGCCUGUUCGCCGGUAGCAGCCGCCCGGUCAAUCCGCAGUGCCCGGGAGCAGUAUGGCGGUGCGCAGGGUGCGGGUGCCGGCACCGGGGGCAGCGUCAGAGGCCACACUGAGGACGCAGUUGUCCAUUCCGCCCCUGGGGAUGUUGUUGACUGCAAACACCUCGGCAUGCAUGGGCUGUCUCUGCUCGGCCUUGCUCCCCUGACGUCGUGGGGGUGAAAAGGACAAACGGAGCACUCACUGGCUGUGGACAGGAGCUAACACUGCUGAAGCUGGAGAGGCCAAAGGAAGGUAAAGAAGAUGGAAUCGAAUGCCAGCCAGCCAGCAGAUAUCUCCUCCUGCAGGCAAGAGAGAGCUUGUGUCUCCGGAUGAGGAAGGAUCCCUAUUCGCAGUCCACAGCAGGCCAGAGGGCCGACAUGCACCGCGGGGUCUGUACAUGUUACCUCCAGCACAGUACAGCUGUGUAGAGCACGAGUGAGCAAGGCUGCAUGCCUGAGAAGCCUCGUAUCGCUGGAGCUGUGAGACACCCAUGUGCUCUCUGAGAUGGAGGGCAGCCCAGCAACCCGAACUGUAGAAGAGGAAGAGAAGAGACAAGGAGAAAGAAGCAUCUGACCCACCAAAUUAUCCCACUGGCGGCAAGAGCUGCACUGGAUUUCAAAAGAACUAGGGCCUUGCUGGGCAGCUACCAAGGGCAGCCCCCAGCCUGGAUGGCAGGAUCCAGUUAAGGCCAUCGCUCAUCAGCAGCACCAGGAAGAUGACGAUCUGCAGCAACAUGAGGAACACACAAACUCUCCUGUGGGAUAGAAGAGGGGUCAGGCAGAGCAGAGGCCAAGUUUGUCUCAGCUGUUUCCAAGCACCCUCUUUGAACGCCACAGUGGGACUUUGCACUAUGCUGGGCACAACAGGCUACGCUCAGGACUGGGGUGAGGGGUCCGAGCAUCUGUCUCGACUCUGCUGUUGGUCUUGCCAGUGUGCUCCAAAAUCCCCCUCUACAUGCCCCCCAAGUUGGGAAGAAAAGAAAUACUGAAACACUUGAUCUUUUGGAGAAGUUCAAAGCUGCCUAAUGCUCUUUUGGACCUCUGGCAUGGGCAUCCCACCGCCUAUGGAAGAGCCCUGGACCCCAGGGCAACUCACUGCAGCCAAGAAAUUAUCUUAUUCCUCCUUGUCCAUGAAGCUGCUGGCUCUUGGAAGCCUUCACAUUUCUGCCGGAGGACCUUGAGCCUGUUCCUGAGCAACUGGACAAGCAGAGGGCCCAGUCAAGAGCUUAUGCCAUGCCUGCUUGGAGGGGGCUUCCCCCCACAGACAUGUGGAUCCCUGGUCUCUCCUGUCCCCAGUACCUUCUUGACCUCAGCCUGCUCCCGAACAGCUCCUGCCAACUCUGACCACUGCUGCCUCUGGAAAGCAAGUGGGAUGCAUCGCAGGGAGCCUCAAAGGGUGGCAAAGGGCAGCCCCAGUCAGUGCCCAGGGCCUGGGAGGGCAGGGCAGGGCCAGGGCAGUAGCACCCAGGUGUCCUGGUGCUGGCACCAUUGUCCAGCAGCUCAGUCACCCCCGAGCAGGUCACAAACCUUGCUCCUGCACUGGGCCAGAGCCAGAGUGUUCCCAUUCCACACGGCAUCCCUAGGGACACAUGUGAGGGUCACUCAUCCCACUCCCUUCCCCAAAGCCAUGGUGCUGUGCCUGCAGACUGUGAGAGACUAAACUGGAAUCAGACUCCACUGUCCCUUGUCUCAAAGAUUGGUAUGAGAAGCUGAGAUGGGAUUGCACCUUCCAUUUUCUGAGACAUGGGUGGGAGGAGUUGAGGUACAACUGUCCAUUGCCUGAGAGAUAGGUCUGAGGAGCUGAAAUGGGACUCUACUGUCCAUUGCCUGAGAGAUGGGUGGGAGGAGCUAACACUCCUCUGUCCAUUAUCUCAAGGACUGGUGUGAGGAAUUUCUGCCCUUUAUCUUAAGGGUUGCUGACAGACAUGUGCAGUUGAAGAGCUGGCUGCUGUGAUCCACCAGUAAUGUACAGUACAUGACAUUAAGAACAGAGGUACUCCCCCCAACACAUAAUAAAAGGGGAAAAAGGUAAUUGCCAUUGGGGACACCCUCCACUGAUGCCAACUAUGGACCCUGGGGGACACCCACCACGGAAGACGAUGACUAUGGACCCUUGGGAUGCCACUGGAUCCAUGGUGGUGACUGCUAUCUUUCUGCGCUUUGAAUGCUUGCUUAAUUUCUAUCUUUUUUUUCCAAUCUGUCCUAUCACUAUCUUUUUUUAAUAAGAAUCUUCUUUUUUAUAAUAAUUGUCUUUUCAUAAUAAACAAACUGACCAAUUACAGGACUUGAA